UAGAGGAAGUAAAAGUCGUAACAAGGUUUCCGUAGGUGAACCUGCGGAAGGAUCAUUAACGAGUUUGAAAUCGAGAGCCUGUUGCUGGUGCGGAAACGUACAUCGUGCACGGCUCCCGUGCUCAAUCCAUUUCAACCCCCUUGUGCACCUUAUCGAAGUCAGUAGUCUUUCUCUUUUUGUUUGCCGGUUGUGUGCGGGAACCUCUUUCUGUUCACUUGGCCGGCGAGGAGAAAUAGAGGGUCGAAAGCUUUGACUUUUCUGUUAAACACUUUGUAUGUCUUGUGGAACGUAUUAGCUCCUUUGUAGGGGCGAAAUAAAUACAACUUUCAACAACGGAUCUCUUGGCUCUCGCAUCGAUGAAGAACGCAGCGAAAUGCGAUAAGUAAUGUGAAUUGCAGAAUUCAGUGAAUCAUCGAAUCUUUGAACGCACCUUGCGCCCCUUGGUAUUCCGAGGGGCAUGCCUGUUUGAGUGUCAUGUUAAUCUCAAACCCCUUGUCUUUUUUGUUGACUUGGUCGGUUUGGACUUGGAGGUGUUGCUGGCGUGCGUCGGCUCCUCUUAAUUGCAUUAGCUGGACUUUGGUUCGCAUUUGACGGUGUAAUAGUAAAGUGUUCGCCGGGCGUGCUUGCCUAACGGGUCUGCUUCUAAUCGUCUUCGGACAACUCUGUUCAUUUUGACCUUUGACCUCAAAUCAGGUAGGACUACCCGCUGAACUUAAGCAUAUCAAUAAGCGGAGGAAAAGAAACUAACAAGGAUUCCCCUAGUAACUGCGAGUGAAGCGGGAAGAGCUCAAAUUUAAAAUCUGGCGGCUUUCGGUCGUCCGAGUUGUAAUCU
rnacentral:rRNA from 1 species